CAACCCUCAAGCUCUGCUUGGUAUUGGGCCCUUCCGCCGGUCACACGGCGGGCCUUAAAGUCAGUGGCGGCGCCGCUGGGUCCUGAACGUAGUAACACAUACCUCUCGUUACAGGGUCCCCGCGCGCUCCCGCCGUAAAACCCCCCUCAUUUUCUCUG
rnacentral:misc_RNA from 1 species